rnacentral:lncRNA from 1 species
CUGGUGUGAAAUACUACCACAAGUUUAGAGGCUUAAACUAGCAAAAUUUAUUACCUUAUAAUUCUGGAGGUCAGAAGUCCAAAAUGAGUCUCCCACAGAUAAAAUCAGGGUGUUGACAGGACUAUAUAAUAUCACCCUGACACUGCAUGUUUACCUCUUUUACAUUUAAAGGACCUUGUGAUUACAUUGGGCCCACCCAAAUAACCCAGAAUAAUCUUUUUAUUUUAAAGUGACCUUAUUAGCAACCUUAAUUUCACAUGUAGCCUUAAUUAUCCUUUUUCAUUGUAGCGCAACAUAUUCACAGCUGAGAAAGGGACUUUUAGGAUACAGACAACUUUGGAGGGCCAUUAUUCUGCCUGCCACAGAGAUAUCAUCCAUAAGUGACUCGUCUCUAAAAAUUAAAGGAUAUGGCUGCUGUCCUUAAAAUCUUUCAAGCUGGCUGAGGAAUAAGAUUAUUGCUGGACAAUUUAUAAGUGAGCCCUCCUGAUACUAUUUUUUAAUGAAGAUGCCACAUACGCAAAUCCUAUUUUAUAAUGUGGAUAAAAGAAGAAGUGGUAAACUGUAUUAUAAAAUGAGUCUUCACUUUACAAAAAGCUUUAUCUAAGAUUCUUCAUGCAAUGAUUUUCUACAUGGUCAUUUUUUGUUUGCACUCAGAUAAAUAAACAGCUGCAGUCAAGGGCUGAGAGGCAUAGAUAAUUACAUGCAGGAUAUACGUUAUAUAAUCCAUCCAAAAUGAAGAUAAGGCAAUCUGAAAUGAGAGGUUUUUGUCUCCCGAGACAAUAAUUUGUACAGGAAAAUAAACAUUUUUUGGUUGUUUCCUGGAAUAUAUCUAAUUGUGAAAAUAAAACACACUUGCCAAUGAUAUGAAUAUCAUUUCACAGUAUGACAACAAAUGCUCCAUCUAAACUACUUAGGGAAUCCCUAACUGAUCCCCUGCCCCACCCCCC